UACCUGUGCGUCAAUCAAGUCGAUGUGCACCCAAUUGAUGGAGCCCAAUGCAGGUUAUAGCUUCAGUUAAAUAGUCAUGUGCAAUAAACAAGCCAGUAAAGAAAGUUCACACACCUGCGCAGCCUGAAACAACAAAAAGCAGGUGAACAACAGGAAAAGAAGGUAAACGAAAAGGGGCGGACAAAUGGCUUUUCAAAACCAGAGUUUCAACCGGUGCUGCUUUUUCCUGACGGACUGAGCUGAGAGCGGCGACAAAUGUCUAAACCGAUGAAGAAAUGGCAUUACUUCUGCUUCCCUGGAACGCAAAUACGCUUCACCAGACAGGGCGGGGAUUUCAUAUUUCUGCCUGAACCCCCCGAGCAGAUUAAAAGCACCCGCAUGGCACCUGUCCCUGCUCCGUUGCUGUGUUGCUCAACAUGUGCUGGGCCAUUUGGAAGCUCUUCUGAUGUUUCGCCAGUAGAUCCAUCGGCAGGUGGACAUGGCUGUGUUUUCCCAGCCCCUUCCUCUUGGACGGCAGCAGAGGAUCAGCCAGAAACAGGCCGCAGGAUGCCUGAGGAGCGGCCAGGACUCAGGCUGUGUUGGCCUCUAAAUAUAGACACACAGUAUAGACACACAAUAUACUUCUGUUCUCUUCUCUUGUCUUCUACAUGGCAAUAUUCAACAUGUUUUUAUGGUGAAUUACAGACAAUUCUUAAGCAAAGCUGCAGGUGCAAGUGACCUUUCUCCCCAAAAAACAUCUAUUCUGAUCAUAUCAGCUGCAACUUUCAGCACUAGUCAACACUGUAUGCAUGCUCUAUAAUUUCUACAAUAGUUGCAAUGGUCAUAGUUUUGCUCCGAGGGCAAAAUCCACUCUAAAGCACUUAAACAAAAUGAAAAACAGCUAUUGGUGGUCUGCCUUGCAUUUCUGGGCCCAUUUUGAUGUUUGGCUGUGUGUUUUUCUUAUUCCCGUCCAUAUCUGGCCCAACACACACUGUUGCAUCCUUGGAAAC